rnacentral:rRNA from 1 species
GUGCCAGCCGCCGCGGUAAUACGGAGGAUGCAAGCGUUAUCCGGAUUUAUUGGGUUUAAAGGGUGCGCAGGUGGUCAAAUAAGUCAGUGGUGAAAGUCUGGCGCUUAACGUUAGGAUUGCCAUUGAUACUGUAUGACUUGAGUAUGGAUGAGGUAGGCGGAAUGUGUAGUGUAGCGGUGAAAUGCAUAGAUAUUACACAGAACGCCGAUUGCGAAGGCAGCUUACUAAUCCAUCACUGACGCUGAGGCACGAAAGCGUGGGGAUCAAACAGGAUUAGAUACCCUCGUAGUCC